rnacentral:misc_RNA from 1 species
GAUUUAUAAUUUUUAAAUAUUAAUAUAGAAUUGAUUUCAAAAAGAUUUGAAUGACGAAAAUAGUCCAUAUAACCGACUCCAAUUAAUUUGAAAUUAAAAUUUAGUUAUUGUUGAUUUUAGCAAGUAUUGGAUAAAGAAGUGACCUAAUCAAUUUUUCAUACUACCUCACUUGGAUGGGAGUGCAAGGAUCAAAAUAAAUAUAAAAGCAAAAAGAUACCAAUAACCUUGUUUGGAUAGCAAAUAACAAAGAAUUAGUAAAGUAUUACUCACAUCAUAAAACUAUUUAAAUUGUAGUGGAAUGAGGAAUGAGGGAAAAAGUUUUAAAAGGAAAUUUUGCUGCGUGAUAUUAUGCCCUUGAAAUAAUAAUAAAAAUUAUAUUAGUAUUUAGAUAGUGUCAUAUGAGUAUGAAUAUGGAUAAAUCAAUUUUUAUAAUUUGCGAUAUAGUGGGGUGAACUUAGCCAAUACGCUAUAUGGGAUUGCAGUAUGCUUAAAUAUAUUGCUCAAUUAGUUUUGAAUUAUAUGCAUUAAAACUAUGUAUUUCAAAGCAACUAUUUUAUAAAAUUUAAACUACUAGUGUAUGUAAAAUUCAAAUAAUAA